rnacentral:rRNA from 1 species
GACGUAGGGCGCGAGCGUUGUCCGGAUUUAUUGGGCGUAAAGAGCUCGUAGGCGGCUUGUCGCGUCGACUGUGAAAUCCCGCGGCUCAACUGCGGGUCUGCAGUCGAUACGGGCAGGCUAGAGUUCGGUAGGGGAGACUGGAAUUCCUGGUGUAGCGGUGAAAUGUGCAGAUAUCAGGAGGAACACCGGUGGCGAAGGCGGGUCUCUGGGCCGAUACUGACGCUGAGGAGCGAAAGCUGGGGAGCAAACGGG